rnacentral:tRNA from 1 species
GUGCCGGUAGCUCAACACCGGCAGAGCCCCCCACUGGCGGGGGAGGCGCGGGUUCGAACCCCGCCCGGCACACCA